GCCUGGCACAUCCACGCCUCCGAAGUGAGCAAACAGCGUCUGGCUCGGUGGCCCUCCCCGGGGGACAGGAGCCACCGGGGGACGUCGGCCUGCUUCCUCAUCACAGCUGAGGAAGAGCCCGGGCCAUCCCUCAGCAAGACUCGAGGCAGCAAAGACCAACCCAGGGCGCCUCCUCCCUGCCCCUGGGCCCAUCCAGAUCCCAGCUGCCACACAAACCUGGCGGAAGACAAAACCCAAAAGGGGCUGACUAGACCCUCCAGCACCAGAGAGGUUCUCUGUCACUCAGGGACCUGUGGCUGGAGGGCAGAGCCAGGCAGAGACUCCAGUGCUCCGCAUUUGCUGGUCUUGUCAUUUCGCCCCCCUCUUGCCAUCUGCUUCCAGGACAGAGAUUUUUGACAUAGUUCUUCAAGGUUCUCUGAUGUCCAAAACUCUCCAGACCCAUUGGAGGGGAGGACAGACCUUGUCUUUCCAAGAGCAGUCCCGACCCGUGGCCCCAUGACCAUCAGCCGCGUGCGCCCUCACGGUCAAUUGUGACAAAAGAGGUCUCUGAUUCUGAGUGUGAGCAGGUGAUCUGCUGGGGACCAGUGGGUGAGUACUAACUAGUACUUAGACUGUUCCACUCAAACCCCUUCCCUCUGGGUAUUGCUGGACCCAUGUGUGGGUGGACAUGGGCCUGCACUUGCUGAACGUGUGAGUGGACAGAGUCUGGAGAGCAGACACCAAUGAUGACCCCGUGUGCUGUGGGUGAGCUUGCUGCGGUACGUGACCUCUGGGCACACUGAUGACAGCCAGCAACAGAGGUAACUUCACCUCCCCUGGCUGGCCAGACCCGCCUCUGGGUGUGUGACUGUCGCGUGGUCCAGGACAUGCCAGAUGUGGGUGGCAGGUCCCUGGCGGCUGCCGUGGCCCAGUCCCGAGGGCUCACACCAUGGCCAGGCAGGGGGCAGAAGGUUGGGUUUCCGGGUAGACUUUUUGGACCAGGCGCCUCCUCCUUCCCUGCCUGUGGGAGGGGAUCCAGGGCCCGGCAUCUGCACCUGCGUGCAAGCUCAUUGGUCCCAGGACGUCCCUGGGACCUGCUAUCUACACAGGCCUGUCCAGGAUGGGUUGCGGGAACCUUUAAACGCCUGUCUUUAAACAGCUUUAAAGAGCUUUACAGGCCCCAUCUGCCUCUUGGGCUCCUCCUCGGUGUGGAUUCUUCUUUUAUGGGGUUUUGAGGCCUUUGACCUGCUCACCCCUCACCUCCGCUGAGUCCUACAGAGCCUGGCAGCAGAGGCGCGGGCACAGGAGGCCCUUGGUGCCGCCCUCCCCACCCCUCGCGAGGCCACAAGGAUCCCAGCCCACAGACCCCGCAGAAUGGGCCUGGAUUGCGAGGGCUGCUGGGUCAGGGACAUUUCCACGGCUUGACGACUGACCCCUGGUUCCUGGCAGCUCAGCUUCUGCUGGCGUUGGCAGCUUCCGGAAGAGCUCCAGAGACGUUGCCCUCAGCGCAGGUCUGCCUGGACUCGGGAGCCCCGUGGACCCCCAAGGAAAGACACCUGGCCAGGGGCUUACAGGAGGCUUCCUGGAGCAGGUGCACAACCUCGUGAGAAGAAUCCAUCCCCAGGGGGCUGCAGGGCUGGCUCUGCGACGCCCGGUCCCUCUGUGAACACGGGCCCACCUCCAGAGUUUGUCUUCUUCCCUCCAUCUAUUUGCACACCCAUCUGCUGUGGUGUCAGGUCUUGGAGGUGAAACGGCCCCGGGCUCUCCCCGUUCCAACGGUUCCUGAAAGAUACCUGCUCUGGCUCCGGCUAUGGGGAAGCGAUUCUCCCUGAGGAGCCGACGCUGCUCUGUAGAGAACCACGUUUGCCGUCGUCUCAGCGGGAAUCGUCCACCUGCUGCCUCUGCUCAAGGCUGCACUGUUGCAGAGCUGGGCGGGGGCUUAAUGGCCACAGCCCAACUCUCACCCUACAGGCAAGGGCAAUGGUGCCCUGAAAGGAAUCUGCCCUGAGUAAACCGUGAGCGGUGAAGACAAACCUGGAUCCAUGAGCUACAAUUUUAGUGAGCAAAAACAUGGAAACAACCUAAACAAGGGGAUU